UGGGGAAAAACAAUGAAAACA
rnacentral:piRNA from 1 species